GCAUCGGAACGUGACCAGUCGUGGGGGAUAGCCCGGGGAAACCCGGAUUAAUACCGCAUACGACCUGAGGGUGAAAGCGGGGGACCAGCAAUGGCCUCGCGCGAUUGGAGCGGCCGAUGUCGGAUUAGGUAGUUGGUGGGGUAAAGGCCUACCAAGCCUGCGAUCCGUAGCUGGUCUGAGAGGACGACCAGCCACACUGGGACUGAGACACGGCCCAGACUCCUACGGGAGGCA
rnacentral:rRNA from 1 species